rnacentral:lncRNA from 1 species
AAUUAUUCAAAUUAUGUAGUGUAUGUGUGAUUGAAUUAUGAUUUCUAUUAUGACAAUUUCUUUUUUUUUUUUGAAAAGCAAAAGAUUCAUUAGAUAUAAUAAAGAGUACAUCAGUGCAAAUCAAAAGAUUUGCAGACCUCUAGAGAAUAAUUAUCAUCCCGAUAGAAUAAGCAUCAUAAUAACUAUCUAGCCAAACAUAAGCUUUUCCCCAGCACUACUUUCUCCUUCAUUAGCCUAGAACCUCACAAAAGACCCUCCCAGUACACCAAACAAAACAACAUAGAUAAUACCUAAUAGUUUCUACUAUUCCCAAGCAACCAGCUCACACCUUUAGUCCAUAAUCUCCAGUUCUCCACAACCUCCACUUCAUCAUAGUUUGCUGCGACUUCCUGCCUGAACAUGUUCCUCCUGAUCAUUCACCACAGCAUCUUCCUGAUCAUCAGCAUCAUUAACAACUCCAGGUCCAAGAUCCUCCUCGUUGACAGCCAUAAAACGAGGGUCACCAGAGCCAAGCCCCAUAUCGAGGCUCCAGAGAUCAAAUACUCUUCCAAACGGCUGUGCAAUCACUACCAUGACCUUGUAUUUCUUUUCGUUCUUUGAUGAUUAGCAAAUUACUGACAAGAUAAUAUAAAAGCUUUCAUUUAUAGACACGGAUACUCCAUAUGGACCAUAUCUGCCCCUAACUCAGCUAAAAAGUACAAGCUUACUUUCACCACGCCCCAUAUCUAAAAAAUUAUUUGACAAUCUCUGAUUCUCUAUCAUAAAUUACACUUCCCCUUUUGAUCUCAAAGUUUUGUAAAUUAUUUCUUAAAUAUUUUAGUGAAAAUAUUAUUUAAUAUUUAAA